UGAGGAAUAUUGGUCAAUGGGCGCAAGCCUGAACCAGCGACGCCGCGUGAGUGAUGAAGGCCUUCGGGUUGUAAAGCUCUGUGGAGAGGGACGAAAAGGCCAAGUCGAAUAGGCUUGGAGAUUGACGGUACCUCUUUAGCAAGCACCGGCUAACUCUGUGCCAGCAGCCGCGGUAACACAGAGGGUGCAAACGUUGCUCGGAAUUACUGGGCGUAAAGCGCGUGUAGGCGGGUUUGCAAGUCAGAUGUGAAAUCCCCGGGCUCAACCCGGGAACUGCAUUUGAAACUGCAUACCUAGAGUAGUGGAGAGGGAAGUGGAAUUCCUGGUGUAGAGGUGAAAUUCGUAGAUAUCAGGAGGAACACCGGUGGCGAAGGCGGCUUCCUGGACACUUACUGACGCUGAGACGCGAAAGCGUGGGGAGCAAACAGGAUUAGAUACCCCCGUAGUCC
rnacentral:rRNA from 1 species